GACGAACGCUGGCGGCGUGCUUAACACAUGCAAGUCGAACGGAAAGGCCCUUCGGGGUACUCGAGUGGCGAACGGGUGAGUAACACGUGGGUGAUCUGCCCUGCACUUUGGGAUAAGCCUGGGAAACUGGGUCUAAUACCGAAUAGGACCGCGCGCUUCAUGGUGUGUGGUGGAAAGCUUUUGCGGUGUGGGAUGGGCCCGCGGCCUAUCAGCUUGUUGGUGGGGUAAUGGCCUACCAAGGCGACGACGGGUAGCCGGCCUGAGAGGGUGACCGGCCACACUGGGACUGAGAUACGGCCCAGACUCCUACAGGAGGCAGCAGUGGGGAAUAUUGCACAAUGGGCGCAAGCCUGAUGCAGCGACGCCGCGUGAGGGAUGACGGCCUUCGGGUUGUAAACCUCUUUCACCAGGGACGAAGCGCAAGUGACGGUACCUGGAGAAGAAGCACCGGCCAACUACGUG
rnacentral:rRNA from 1 species